rnacentral:rRNA from 1 species
CCUACGGGUGGCAGCAGUGAGGAAUAUUGGUCAAUGGCCGGAAGGCUGAACCAGCCAAGCCGCGUGAGGGAGGUAGGCGCAGAGCGUCGCAGACCUCUUUUGCCGGGGGACAAAAGGACGGCAUCGACCGGUCCUGAGGGUACCCGGAGAAAAAGCAUCGGCUAACUCCGGGCCAGCAGCCGCGGUAAUACGGAGGAUGCGAGCGUUAUCCGGAUUUAUUUGGUUUAAAGGGUGCGUAGAGGGUCUGUUAAGUCAGCGGUAAAAAUUCGGGGCUCAACCCCGGCCGGCCGUUGAAACUGGGGGCCUUGAGUGGGCGAGAAGAAGGCGGAAUGCGUGGUGUAGCGGUGAAAUGCAACGAUAGCACGCAGAACCCCGAUUGCGAAGGCAGCCUUCCGGCGCCCUACUGACGCUGAGGCACGAAAGUGCGGGGAUCGAACAGGAUUAGAUACCCUAGUAGUC